AGCGGCGGACGGGUGAGUAACGCGUGGGUAACCUGCCUCAUACAGGGGGAUAACAGUUAGGAAUGACUGCUAAUACCGCAUAAGACCACAGCACCGCAUGGUGCAGGGGUAAAAACUCCGGUGGUAUGAGAUGGACCCGCGUCUGAUUAGGUAGUUGGUGGGGUAACGGCCUACCAAGCCGACGAUCAGUAGCCGACCUGAGAGGGUGACCGGCCACAUUGGGACUGAGACACGGCCCAA
rnacentral:rRNA from 1 species